UACGAAGGGUGCAAGCGUUACUCGGAAUUACUGGGCGUAAAGCGUGCGUAGGCGGUUUGUUAAGUCCGCUGUGAAAGCCCUGGGCUCAACCUGGGAAUGGCAUUGGAAACUGGCGACCUAGAGUGCGGUAGAGGGUAGUGGAAUUCCCGGUGUAGCAGUGAAAUGCGUAGAGAUCGGGAGGAACAUCUGUGGCGAAGGCGACUGCCUGGAUCAGCACUGACACUGAGGCACGAAAGCGUGGGGAGCAAACAGG
rnacentral:rRNA from 1 species